rnacentral:rRNA from 1 species
UACGUAGGUGGCAAGCGUUGUUCGGAAUUAUUGGGCGUAAAGGGCGCGUAGGCGGUUUGUUAAGUCAGCUGUGAAAGCCCGGGGCUCAACCCCGGAGGGUCAGCUGAUACUGGCAGGCUAGAGUACAGAAGAGGUAACUGGAAUUCCCGGUGUAGCGGUGAAAUGCGCAGAUAUCAGGAGGAACACCGGUGGCGAAGGCGGGUCUCUGGGCCGAUACUGACGCUGAGGAGCGAAAGCGUGGGGAGCAAACAGG